UGUUAAUUUUUUUUUUUUUUUUUUUUUUUGUCUACGUUAUUCAUUA
rnacentral:ribozyme from 1 species